UCAGAACGAACGCUGGCGGCAGGCUUAACACAUGCAAGUCAAACGAGACCUUCGGGUCUAGUGGCGGACGGGUGAGUAACGCGUGGGAAUUUGCCUUUCGGUGCGGGACAACCAAGGGAAACUUUGGCUAAUACCGCAUACGCCCUACGGGGGAAAGAUUUAUCGCCGAAAGAGAAGCCCGCGUCGGAUUAGCUUGUUGGUAGGGUAAUGGCCUACCAAGGCGACGAUCCGUAGCUGGUCUGAGAGGAUGACCAGCCACACUGGGACUGAGACACGGCCCAGACUCC
rnacentral:rRNA from 2 species